rnacentral:rRNA from 1 species
AUCCCCGGGCUCANCCCGGGNACUGCAUUCCAAACUGGGUAUCUAGAGUGCAGGAGAGGAAAGCGGAAUUCCUAGUGUAGCGGUGAAAUGCGUAGAUAUUAGGAGGAACACCAGUGGCGAAGGCGGCUUUCUGGACUGUAACUGACACUGAGGCAUGAAAGCGUGGGUAGCAAACAGGAUUAGAUACCCUGGUAGUCCACGCCGUAAACGAUGGGUACUAGGUGUAGGAGGUAUCGACCCCUUCUGUGCCGCCGUUAACACAAUAAGUACCCCGCCUGGGGAGUACGGUCGCAAGACUAAAACUCAAAGGAAUUGACGGGGGCCCGCACAAGCAGCGGAGCAUGUGGUUUAAUUCGAAGCAACGCGAAGAACCUUACCUAGACUUGACAUCUCCUGAAUUACCCUUAACCGGGGAAGCCCUUCGGGGCAGGAAGACAGGUGGUGCAUGGUUGUCGUCAGCUCGUGUCGUGAGAUGUUGGGUUAAGUCCCGCAACGAGCGCAACCCUUAUUUUUAGUUGCUACCAUUUAGUUGAGCACUCUAAAGAGACUGCCCGGGUUAACCGGGAGGAAGGUGGGGAUGACGUCAAAUCAUCAUGCCCCUUAUGUCUAGGGCUACACACGUGCUACAAUGGUGAGAACAAAGAGACGCAAGACCGCGAGGUGGAGCCAAUCUCACAAAACUCAUCCCAGUUCGGAUUGCAGGCUGAAACUCGCCUGCAUGAAGCCGGAGUUGCUAGUAAUCGCGAAUCAGCAUGUCGCGGUGAAUACGUUCCCGGGCCUUGUACACACCGCCCGUCACACCAUGAGAGUUGGCAAUACCCGAAGUCCGUGGGAUAACCGCAAGGAGUCAGCGGCCGAAGGUAGGGUCAGCGAUUGGGGUGAAGUCGUAACAAGGUAACC